GACGAACGCUGGCGGCGUGCUCAACACAUGCAAGUCGAACGAUGAAGCCCUUUCGGGGGUGGAUUAGUGGCGAACGGGUGAGUAACAUGUGGGUAACCUGCCCUGUACCCUGGGAUAAGCCUUGGAAACGAGGUCUAAUACCGGAUAUGACCUGCUCUCGCAUGGGGGUGGGUGGAAAGUUUUGGCGGUGCAGGAUGGACCCGCGGCCUAUCAGCUUGUUGGUGGGGUGANGGCCUACCAAGGCGACGACGGGUAGCCGGCCUGAGAGGGCGACCGGCCACACUGGGACUGAGACACGGCCCAGACUCCUACGGGAGGCAGCAGUGGGGAAUCUUGCGCAAUGGGCGAAAGCCUGACGCAGCGACGCCGCGUGAGGGAUGACGGCCUCGG
rnacentral:rRNA from 1 species